GAGAAUGCCACCAUGUGAUGGCCAGAGAAGCUUGGUCUUGGUCCUGCUUCCCAGACCUGCUGCCCCAUCUGCUCCAGCAGUUUCCAAGCACUGCCAGUGCCACAUUGGUUUUCACAGCUGCCUUGGUGGAGUGAUUCCAGGAAGGAGCUGCUCAGGGUGGAAUCUGCAGCAGAAACCUUCUUGUGCAUUCGAACUUACCAUGCAAGAGAAGAAGGCAACCUGCUCUGAGGCUCACUUCUGAGCAAGGAACAAACUGAGCAAUCAGACUCGGUCAGGGGUGCUGUAAGAAGAGACUUUGGGGAUCCUCUGGAAGGGACAGACUGGUCAUUUUCAGCUGUUGUUCCGUGAGCAGCACAGUAACCUGUCCUGCAUACUCACCUUUAGGCAAAUUUGGACUUUCUGAAGAAAGCUGUG